UAGGGAAUCUUCGGCAAUGGGGGCAACCCUGACCGAGCAACGCCGCGUGAGUGAAGAAGGUUUUCGGAUCGUAAAGCUCUGUUGUAAGAGAAGAACGUGUGUGAGAGUGGAAAGUUCACACAGUGACGGUAACUUACCAGAAAGGGACGGCUAACUACGUGCCAGCAGCCGCGGUAAUACGUAGGUCCCGAGCGUUGUCCGGAUUUAUUGGGCGUAAAGCGAGCGCAGGCGGUUUAAUAAGUCUGAAGUUAAAGGCAGUGGCUUAACCAUUGUUCGCUUUGGAAACUGUUAAACUUGAGUGCAGGAGGGGAGAGUGGAAUUCCAUGUGUAGCGGUGAAAGGCGUAGAUAUAUGGAGGAACACCGGUGGCGAAAGCGGCUCUCUGGUCUGUAACUGACGCUGAGGCUCGAAAGCGUGGGGAGCAAACAGG
rnacentral:rRNA from 1 species